rnacentral:rRNA from 1 species
UGUGCCAGCAGCCGCGGUAAUACGUAGGGUGCGAGCGUUGUCCGGAAUUACUGGGCGUAAAGGGCUCGUAGUGGUUCGUCGCGUCGUCUGUGAAAUUCCGGGGCUUAACUCCGGGCGUGCAGGCGAUACGGGCAUAACUUGAGUACUGUAGGGGUAACUGGAAUUCCUGGUGUAGCGGUGAAAUGCGCAGAUAUCAGGAGGAACACCGAUGGCGAAGGCAGGUUACUGGGCAGUUACUGACGCUGAGGAGCGAAAGCAUGGGUAGCGAACAGGAUUAGAUACCCUGGUAGUCAAGGGCG